rnacentral:rRNA from 2 species
GACCUCAAAUCAGGUAGGACUACCCGCUGAACUUAAGCAUA